rnacentral:lncRNA from 1 species
GGGUGGGGAACAUUAAAUCCUGGUCUCUGCUUCUGGCGGAAAGAGCGCAAAGUGGCCGCGAGAACCUACGCCUGUUAAAGAACUACAAGUCCCAGCAGGCUGCGCGGCUCUCUGGACCUGCUCGGGAUUGGAGUGUAAUGCAGCAUUCUAGGAAAGAGAGUAUGUCUUCUGUGUGUGGCCAACUGGGAUUUGUAGUUCCCAGGCUGGUGUUUCCCGUGUGGUAAGGUACUCAUUACCGUGCUGGAAAGGUUUCGAUUUUUAUUCCAACCGUAUUCUUCUGUUACAGAAUGUACGAAAUUAAGGACAAGUGAUAGUACACAUGAAGUCUAUUUUCUUAUUGCUUAAUCUUAUAAGGACGUCACCUGCUGUUCCUAGUCAUCAAUGAUGUAGGGAUAAAAAGUAUAUGACUUUAAAGUGUGGGUGCAUUGGCUUUCAGAAUAUCAGUUUUUAAGCUGCGAUGCCCACCCAGACUCCAGCCUGUCCAGUGCAAUGGGGACCAGGUACUGUUCCCCGCUGACCCACACGGGCCUGGAACAACUCUCCGCAACAGUUUUCACCUAGUACAUGUUAAAUGGACUCCACUUUCUCCGCUAUCCAUUUCUUCCUUUCAUUUUUACGUUUGUUAAGUCCACUUAUUUUCCUUGAUAUGAACGGUUGGCAGUGGAGACGAGGGGGAAUUCCCUGAAAAAUAUCACCUGCUUCUUUUAGAUGCAAUUACUCCCAGUCACCAAAACUUGGGAGAUCAGGUCUCACGCUGUCACCCACAAUGGACUGCAGUGGUGCAAUCACAGCUCACUGUAGCUUCGACCACGCUGGCUCUGGUCAUCAUCCUACUGCAGCCUCCCAGAUGGAGUCUCUCUCUGUCGACCAGGCUGGAGUGCAGUGGCGCAAUCUCAGCUCACAGCUUCCGGGUUCACGCCAUUCUCCUGCCUCAGCCUCCAGAAUAGCUGGGACUACAGGCAUCUGCCAGCAUGCCCAGAAAUUUUUUUUUUUUUUUGUAUUUUUAGUAGAGAUGGGUUUUCACCGUGU